rnacentral:tRNA from 1 species
GCCUGGAUAGCUCAGUUGGUUAGAGGGUGGUGGUGAUAAUGCCAAGGCUGCAGGUUUGAUCCCUGUAUGGGACA